UACGUAGGGUGCGAGCGUUAAUCGGAAUUACUGGGCGUAAAGCGUGCGCAGGCGGUUCGCCAAGUCAGGUGUGAAAUCCCCGGGCUUAACCUGGGAAUUGCGCUUGAAACUAGCGGGCUUGAGUGUGGCAGAGGGGGGUGGAAUUCCACGUGUAGCAGUGAAAUGCGUAGAGAUGCGGCGGAACACCGAUGGCGAAGGCAGCCCCCUGGGCUGAGAUUGACGCUCAGGCACGAAAGCGUGGGGAGCAAACAGG
rnacentral:rRNA from 1 species